GGAUUUAGCUCAGUGGUAGAGCGCUUGCCUAGCAAGUACAAGACCCUGGGUUCGGUCCCCAGCUCCA
rnacentral:tRNA from 1 species